AAGUUAAUCAGGUUAUAUGGUUUAUCAUCUAGUUGAGUUUAAUCAGAUGAUGAUAAAGUUUAAUAUUAUAUAAAGUUGAAGGAAAAAUCAAUCUUUUUCAAUGAAAAGGGAAAUGCUUUUUGUAGAGUUGUAAUUGGAAAACGAUCCCCUUAAAAGGCUUAAUAUAUGGCUGACCCCUUUAUCUUUACCUCGCAUUUUUCACAUUAGACUGUGUUUUUUUUUGCUACAAUCUGAUUUGAUAAACAGUUUCAAGUGUUAAUUAUCCCUUGACAUGGGCUUUAUUUAAUUAUGUGUCUCGUCAAAUUUUAUCUUUUCUGUCAAUUUAUUCAUGGGAUCGAAAUAUUUUUUCUGUGAAAGAUCAAGAAAAGGCUGACUUUGAUGUUACCAGUACAGCAUGUUUUAGCCACAUGUUUUAUUGUUGCCUUGUAUCUCUCAAAGUUAACAGUCUCUUGCUGUUUAAUUAUGAUUUACCUUCUCCAAGUGGUCAAAAUUUACUCAGGCUUUUGAACCUGUUUACGAUGAAUGUAACAAUUUGGUUGAAGAAGACCAAUUAAGGUAAAGUGGUGAUCAACUCAUUUAGGUUACUUUGUCAAACUCAAGCUGAAUCUGGUCACAUGUAAAGACAACAGCACAGCCUUUCGGAACUCAUAUUGACAUCAGCCUGUUCAGUCAAUCCUGUUAAGGAAAGUUAAACUGAAAAGCUAUUGAAGAAGAAACGUUUGUUUUUACUUGAAAGUCAUAAAAAUUUCAACCGAGUUAAUCUUCAGACACAAAGAUGUAGCUACCGAAAGCUUAAGAUGCUCAUUUCAUGCUGAUAUGGUGAGGAUUUGCACUCAAAUUUUCAAUAACUUCGUUCUUAUCGAGUGAUUCCUAGAUAUCGAGCUGCCGAGUAAAUAGUGAUAAUCAUGUUUACAAAUUGGCUUCUGCAUUCACUCACUUUUCUGAAGAUUCACUCAUUAAAAUUUUUAUGGCUGCCAAACAAAUAAAAACACAGCCCCUUCUUCAGUGGUUUUUGAGCUAAUUUACUCUAAUUGUUUACAGAAUCGGCUAUUAUAUCAACAACAGCUACUGGACAGAUCCCUGUAUUGGAUAAAUUGGACAACACAAACUCCAGAAAUUCACAAAGUAUCAAUCAUGGAAUCUGAUUUCUCGACUUGUUCUCAAUUUGGUUAACCCAGACGAUAGUGAAAAGUUUGCUCACAAUUAGCAUAAAAGGCAAUAUUUUUAAUGCAAAUUUGGAUGCGAAAAGUGAUAAAAUUGAUAACUUUGUGUGUUGGCCCUGUUACUGCGUAUGAAUUUACUAUCCAAUGAGACUGGAAGCAAGGCAUCAAUUGCAUCUCUUUUAUAUCAUCUUAUAUUUAUUUGUCAAAGUGCAUUAUAAUAUACUUGUGAUAAUAAUACAGAAACACAUUAAAUCGUGUUUUUGGUUCAUAUUUAUUAGAGAGUUGACCCUUUUCCAUUUUUAUCUCAUUCACAUUCAUAUCAUCGUUAACAUAAAAUGUUGCCCAUAAAUAAUGUCCAUUUUCAAUGUGCAUUCACCUUUUUUUAUCCCUUUUUAUCCCUUUUCUUAACUAUUAAAUGGAUGUUAACCAGGAAAAAGUAAAAAAGAUUGAUUGACCAAGUUGUUAAUUUAA